rnacentral:rRNA from 1 species
UACGUAGGGGGCAAGCGUUGUCCGGAUUUACUGGGCGUAAAGCGCGCGCAGGCGGCACUCUAAGUACGUCGUGAAAUCUCCUUGCUCAACGGGGAGGGUGCGAAGUAGACUAGGGAGCUAGAGGUCGGUAGAGGGGGGUGGAAUUGCUGGUGUAGCGGUGAAAUGCGUAGAGAUCAGCAGGAACACCCGUGGCGAAGGCGGCCCCCUGGGCCGUACCUGACGCUGAGGCGCGAAGGCUAGGGGAGCGAACGGGG